UGACUCUAGAGCUGUGUCCACACUGUCGACAUCUUCAAUCUCUAAACUCAGAUCUAUUAGAGUCUCAUAUGUGUCAGAACAAUGGCCACAAUUACAACACCGCAAUUUGCUAACUAAACGACCUCCAAAAGCCUGCUUCACAAUGUUGUCAGUCUCUAAAGUUUGGCAGUCUUUUGAUUUUGAAUCAUCAUAACAUCUUUCAAGUUUAUCCAGGAAACACUGUAGAAACUCAUGAGCAUCUUCCUGUUGGAACCGAUGGAAAGUAGAAGAAAAAUAGUUCAAGUUGUUAACAAAUUUCCAGGG
rnacentral:misc_RNA from 1 species